rnacentral:rRNA from 1 species
AGUGAACGCUGGCGGUAGGCCUAACACAUGCAAGUCGAACGGCAGCACAGUAAGAGCUUGCUCUUACGGGUGGCGAGUGGCGGACGGGUGAGGAAUACAUCGAAAUCUACUUUUUCGUGGGGGAUAACGUAGGGAAACUUACGAUAAUACCGCAUACGACCUACGGGGGAAAGCAGGGGAUCUUCGGACCUUGCGCGAUUGAAUGAGCCGAUGUCGGAUUAGCUAGUUGGCGGGGUAAAGGCCCACCAAGGCGACGAUCCGUAGCUGGUCUGAGAGGAUGAUCAGCCACACUGGAGCUGAGACCCGGUCCAGCCUCCUACGGGAGGCAGCAGUGGGGAAUAUUGGACAAUGGGCGCAAGCCUGAUCCAGCCAUACCGCGUGGGUGAAGAAGGCCUUCGGUUUGUAAAGCCCUUUUGUUGGGAAAGAAAAGCAGCAGGUUAAUACCCCGCUGUUCUGACGGUACCCAAAGAAUAAGCACCGGCUAACUUCGUG